rnacentral:lncRNA from 1 species
CUUUCGAAGGUGUUGUAAAUUGUUCUUGAAUAGUUCAAAACAGUUGGUUCUUCUACUUGAAUGCUUGAUUCAGUAUUAGUAACUAUGUUUUACAAUCGUUGUAAAAGUGUGGCUAAUAAGAAGUAGAAGAUUAAUGGGAGAAGAGAAAGUACUUCACAUUCGAAACGUGAAUCAAAUAUAGAUCUCUGCGAAAGCAGGUAGUACUUACUUCCUCAUAUGAACUACCAAAGAAAAUGGAAAAACAAAGAUUGUCUUUACAUUCCAAUUUGAAUAAAGGAACUUAAUUCCGUAUGAGAAAUGGAUGAAUGUUUUGUUUGACAAAACAUUGUUCUUUAUUAAUGAAUGAUUAGAUUAUUGUAAUCUAAUUGAUUAUCUCUAUAGUAGAAAUGAUAUGGUAGUGUUAACUGUUUAGAAUAUAACAAUGCUUAAAACCCAAAAGGUUGCAAUGUAGUGACUAAUCCCAACUGAGUUGUGCUAUUUGAUACCUCUAAAACAUAAAUUACGAGUUGGUCAUAGAUGGAUGCUUUGGAUCGUUAGAUCCGGAUCCAAUGC